rnacentral:pre_miRNA from 1 species
CAAAUACUCCCUCUGUCCCAAAAUUCUUGUCUUAAAUUUUUCUAGAUAUGAAUGUAUCUAGUCACGUUUUAGUAUUUAGAUAAAUUCAUUUCUCGACAAACCUAAGAUAAAAAUUUUGAAACGGAGGAAGUAGUAG